rnacentral:rRNA from 1 species
AUUGAACGCUGGCGGCAGGCCUAACACAUGCAAGUCGAACGAGUGGCGGACGGGUGAGUAAUGUCUGGGAAACUGCCCGAUGGAGGGGGAUAACUACUGGAAACGGUAGCUAAUACCGCAUACCAUCGGAUGUGCCCAGAUGGGAUUAGCUAGUAGGUGGGGUAACGGCUCACCUAGGCGACGAUCCCUAGCUGGUCUGAGAGGAUGACCGGCCACACUGGAAUUGAGACACGGUCCAGACUCCUACGGGGGGCAGCAGUGGGGAAUCUUGGCCAAUGGGCGAAAGCCUGACGCAGCAACGCGGCGUGUAGGAAGAAGGUCUUCGGGUUGUAAAGUACUUUCAGAGAGGAGGCGUUACCCACAGAAAAAGCAACGGCUAACUCCGUGCCAGCAGCCGCGGUAAUUC